CAGCCGCCACGGUAAUACGAGGGGGGCAAGCGUUGUUCGGAAUUAUUGGGCGUAAAGGGUGCGUAGGCGGUUUGGCAAGUUUGGUGUGAAAUCUUCGGGCUCAACUCGAAGUCUGCAUCGAAAACUGCCGGGCUUGAGUAUGGGAGAGGUGAGUGGAAUUUCCGGUGUAGCGGUGAAAUGCGUAGAUAUCGGAAGGAACACCUGUGGCGAAAGCGGCUCACUGGACCAUAACUGACGCUGAUGCACGAAAGCUAGGGGAGCAAACAGGAUUAGAUACCCGUGUAGUCCCUGUCUCUUAUAC
rnacentral:rRNA from 1 species